GACGAACGCUGGCGGCAUGCUUUACACAUGCAAGUCGAACGGUAACAGGUUAAGCUGACGAGUGGCGAACGGGUGAGUAAUGCAUCGGAACGUGCCCGAUCGUGGGGGAUAACGCAGCGAAAGCUGCGCUAAUACCGCAUACGAUCUGAGGAUGAAAGCGGGGGACCGUAAGGCCUCGCGCGAUCGGAGCGGCCGAUGUCAGAUUAGGUAGUUGGUGGGGUAAAGGCUCACCAAGCCAACGAUCUGUAGCUGGUCUGAGAGGACGACCAGCCACACUGGGACUGAGACACGGCCCAGACUCCUACGGGAGUCAGCAGUGGGGAAUUUUGGACAAUGGGCGAAAGCCUGAUCCAGCAAUGCCGCGUGCAGGAAGAAGGCCUUCGGGUUGUAAACUGCUUUUGUACGGAGCGAAAAGGCUCUCUCUAAUACAGGGGGCUCAUGACGGUACCGUAAGAAUAAGCACCGGCUAACUACGUGCCAGCCGCCGCAGUAAUAC
rnacentral:rRNA from 1 species